GGCUGGGUCCUAUGCAAUAUUGGAUCUGCAAACCCCGUCAGGCCUGGAAGGGAGCAGCGGUAGCAAUUUUCAUAUGUGCCGUAGGGUGCCUAGCCACU
rnacentral:SRP_RNA from 3 species